rnacentral:rRNA from 1 species
UACGUAGGUGGCAAGCGUUGUCCGGAAUUACUGGGUGUAAAGGGAGCGUAGGCGGGAAAGCAAGUUGAAUGUUUAAGGUACGGGCUCAACCUGUACAAGCGUUCAAAACUGUUUUUCUUGAGUGGAGUAGAGGUAAGCGGAAUUCCUAGUGUAGCGGUGAAAUGCGUAAAUAUUAGGAGGAACACCAGUGGCGAAAGCGGCUCUCUGGCCUGUAACUGACACUGAGGCUCGAAAGCGUAGGGAGCAAACAGG